rnacentral:rRNA from 1 species
GAUGAGCGCUGGCGGCGUGCCUAAUACAUGCAAGUCGAGCGAACAGACGAGGAGCUUGCUCCUCUGACGUUAGCGGCGGACGGGUGAGUAACACGUGGAUAACCUACCUAUAAGACUGGGAUAACUUCGGGAAACCGGAGCUAAUACCGGAUAAUAUAUUGAACCGCAUGGUUCAAUAGUGAAAGGCGGUUUUGCUGUCACUUAUAGAUGGAUCCGCGCCGCAUUAGCUAGUUGGUAAGGUAACGGCUUACCAAGGCAACGAUGCGUAGCCGACCUGAGAGGGUGAUCGGCCACACUGGAACUGAGACACGGUCCAGACUCCUACGGGAGGCAGCAGUAGGGAAUCUUCCGCAAUGGGCGAAAGCCUGACGGAGCAACGCCGCGUGAGUGAUGAAGGUCUUCGGAUCGUAAAACGCUGUUAUUAGGGAAGAACAAAUGUGUAAGUAACUAUGCACGUCUUGACGGUACCUAAUCAGAAAACCACGGCUAACUACGU